UUGCCAGCCCGCUCAGAAACUUCAAGGAAUUGACGGGGGCCCGCACAAGCGGAGGAGCAUGUGGUUUAAUUCGAUGAUACGCGAGGAACCUUACCUGGGCUCGAACGUAAGAUGACUGUAGGUGAAAGCUUACAUCUCUUCGGAGCAUUUUACGAGGUGCUGCAUGGUUGUCGUCAGCUCGUGCCGUGAGGUGUCGGGUUAAGUCCCAUAACGAGCGCAACCCCUACCUUUAGUUGCCAUCAGGUAAUGCUGGGGACUCUAAAGGAACUGCCUACGCAAGUAGUGAGGAAGGCGGGGAUGACGUCAAAUCAGCACGGCCCUUACGUCCAGGGCUACACACGUGCUACAAUGGCCGGUACAAAGGGUUGCGAAGCCGUGAGGUGGAGCGAAUCUCAAAAAGCCGGCCUCAGUUCGGAUUGGAGGCUGCAACUCGCCUCCAUGAAGUCGGAAUCGCUAGUAAUCGCGCAUCAGCAUGGCGCGGUGAAUACGUUCCCGGGCCUU
rnacentral:rRNA from 1 species